rnacentral:rRNA from 1 species
CCUACGGGAGGCUGCAGUGAGGAAUAUUGGUCAAUGGACGAAAGUCUGAACCAGCCAAGUAGCGUGAAGGAUGACUGCCCUAUGGGUUGUAAACUUCUUUUAUAUGGGAAUAAAAUGUUCCACGUGUGGGAUUUUGUAUGUACCAUAUGAAUAAGGAUCGGCUAACUCCGUGCCAGCAGCCGCGGUAAUACGGAGGAUCCGAGCGUUAUCCGGAUUGAUUGGGUGUAAAGGGAGCGUAGGUGGAUGUUUAAGUCAGUUGUGAAAGUUUGCGGCUCAACCGUAAAAUUGCAGUUGAAACUGGCAGUCUUGAGUACAGUAGAGGUGGGCGGAAUUCGUGGUGUAGCGGUGAAAUGCUUAGAUAUCACGAAGAACUCCGAUUGCGAAGGCAGCUCACUGGACUGCAACUGACACUGAGGCUCGAAAGUGUGGGGAUCAAACAGGAUUAGAUACCCUUGUAGUC